UACAGAGGUCUCAAGCGUUGUUCGGAUUCAUUGGGCGUAAAGGGCGCGUAGGCGGCGGGGUAAGUCUGGUGUGAAAUCUCGGAGCUCAACUCCGAAAUUGCACUGGAUACUGCUCUGCUAGAGGGCUGGAGAGGAGAUCGGAAUUCACGGUGUAGCAGUGAAAUGCGUAGAUAUCGUGAGGAAUACCAGAGGCGAAGGCAGCCAUCUGGACCGACACUGACGCUGAGGCGCGAAAGCGUGGGGAGCAAACAGG
rnacentral:rRNA from 1 species